rnacentral:rRNA from 1 species
GACGAACUCUGGCGGCGUGCCUAAUACAUGCAAGUCGAACGAGCGGCGGACGGGUGAGUAAUGUAUGGGGACUGCCCGAUAGAGGGGGAUAACUACUGGAAACGGUAGCUAAUACCGCAUACUAUCGGAUAACCCAUAUGGGAUUAGCUAGUAGGUGAGGUAAUGGCUCACCUAGGCGACGAUCCCUAGCUGGUCUGAGAGGAUGAUCAGCCACACGGGGACUGAGACACGGCCCAGACUCCUACGGAGGCAGCAGUGGGGAAUAUUGCACAAUGGGCGCAAGCCUGAUGCAGCCAUGCCGCGUGUAUGAAGAAGGCCCUAGGGUUGUAAAGUACUUUUGGCAGAGAAGCGGUAUCUGCAGAAUAAGCACCGGCUAACUACGUGCCAGCAGCCGCGGUAAUUC